GGGCGUUGAAGCAUGAUCGUAAGGACAUGUGGAGCGCUUAGAAGUGAGAAUGCCGGUGUGAGUAGCGAAAGACGGGUGAGAAUCCCGUCCACCGAUUGACUAAGGUUUCCAGAGGAAGGCUCGUCCGCUCUGGGUUAGUCGGGUCCUAAGCUGAGGCCGACAGGCGUAGGCGAUGGAUAACAGGUUGAUAUUCCUGUACCACCUAUAAUCGUUUUAAUCGAUGGGGGGACGCAGUAGGAUAGGCGAAGCGUGCGAUUGGAUUGCACGUCUAAGCAGUAAGGCUGAGUAUUAGGCAAAUCCGGUACUCAUUAAGGCUGAGCUGUGAUGGGGAGAAGACAUUGUGUCUUCGAGUCGUUGAUUUCACACUGCCGAGAAAAGCCUCUAGAUAGAAAAUAGGUGCCCGUACCGCAAACCGACACAGGUAGUCAAGAUGAGAAUUCUAAGGUGAGCGAGCGAACUCUCGUUAAGGAACUCGGCAAAAUGACCCCGUAACUUCGGGAGAAGGGGUGCUCUUUAGGGUUAACGCCCAGAAGAGCCGCAGUGAAUAGGCCCAAGCGACUGUUUAUCAAAAACACAGGUCUCUGCUAAACCGUAAGGUGAUGUAUAGGGGCUGACGCCUGCCCGGUGCUGGAAGGUUAAGAGGAGUGGUUAGCUUCUGCGAAGCUACGAAUCGAAGCCCCAGUAAACGGCGGCCGUAACUAUAACGGUCCUAAGGUAGCGAAAUUCCUUGUCGGGUAAGUUCCGACCCGCACGAAAGGCGUAACGAUUUGGGCACUGUCUCAACGAGAGACUCGGUGAAAUCAUAGUACCUGUGAAGAUGCAGGUUACCCGCGACAGGACGGAAAGACCCCGUGGAGCUUUACUGUAGCCUGAUAUUGAAAUUCGGCACAGCUUGUACAGGAUAGGUAGGAGCCUUUGAAACGUGAGCGCUAGCUUACGUGGAGGCGCUGGUGGGAUACUACCCUAGCUGUGUUGGCUUUCUAACCCGCACCACUUAUCGUGGUGGGAGACAGUGUCAGGCGGGCAGUUUGACUGGGGCGGUCGCCUCCUAAAAGGUAACGGAGGCGCUCAAAGGUUCCCUCAGAAUGGUUGGAAAUCAUUCAUAGAGUGUAAAGGCAUAAGGGAGCUUGACUGCGAGACCUACAAGUCGAGCAGGGUCGAAAGACGGACUUAGUGAUCCGGUGGUUCCGCAUGGAAGGG
rnacentral:rRNA from 1 species